AUUCAAAUAGUUUAUUAAAAACAUUUUAUUUUCAAUAAAAAGAAAGAAAACUUAUGAAUA
rnacentral:tRNA from 1 species